CCUACGGGUGGCAGCAGUGAGGAAUAUUGGUCAAUGGGCUUACGCCUGAACCAGCCAAGUCGCGUGAGGGAAGACUGCCCUAUGGGUUGUAAACCUCUUUUGUCAGGGAGCAACGCCGGCUACGUGUAGCCGGACUGAGAGUACCUGAAGAAAAAGCAUCGGCUAACUCCGUGCCAGCAGCCGCGGUAAUACGGAGGAUGCGAGCGUUAUCCGGAUUUAUUGGGUUUAAAGGGGGCGUAGGCGGAAUGCCAAGUCAGCGGUAAAAUCGCGGGGCUCAACCUCGCUCCGCCGUUGAAACUGGCGUUCUUGAGUGGGCGAGAAGUAUGCGGAAUGCGUGGUGUAGCGGUGAAAUGCAUAGAUAUCGGGAGGAACACCAGUGGCGAAGGCGGUUUACUGGACCACAACUGACGCUGAGACACGAAAGCGUGGGGAGCAAACAGGAUUAGAUACCCGAGUAGUC
rnacentral:rRNA from 1 species